CUGCAUAAUUUGAAUCCACAUACUUAAUAAUUCCAACUGUAUUUCUACAGAAAUACGACCAAACAUUAGUUGAACCUUUCAAGUAUUUGAAUAUUCAUUGCACUGCUUCCUAAUGUUCCUUGUCAAGAUUUGUCAUGUACUUAUUAACUGCACCGACUGCAUGUGUCAAAUUUAGCCUUGUACAAAUCAUAGUAUACAUUAGCGAGCCAACUGUACUGGAAUAAAACACUUGAGACAUAUAAUCAAUGUCUUCAUCUGAAUUGAGGACACAAUCCAGAUGAUAAUUUGAAGUGGGUAGCCAAGGAAGUACUGACAACCUUAACAUUCAACAUGUUGAACCUUUGAAGCAACUUCUCAAUGUACCUCUUCUGACUCAAAUACAAUCUGUCAACCUUUCUAUCCCUUAAGAUUUUCAUAUCAAGAAUUUUUUGGCUAUACCAAAAUCCUUCAUCUCAAACUCCUUACUAGGUUGAGAUUUCACCUUUCUGGCCUUUGCUUUAUCCUUGACUGCAAUAAGCAUAUCAUGGCAAUUGUGUUUAUAACAAAGUCUCUAAGCUCUAACUAAGAUAUGAAACUCUCAA
rnacentral:lncRNA from 1 species